UACGUAGGGGGGCAAGCGUUGUCCGGAAUCAUUGGGCGUAAAGAGCGUGUAGGCGGCCCGAUAAGUCCGCUGUGAAAGUCCAGGGCUCAACCCUGGAAUGCCGGUGGAUACUGUCGGGCUCGAGUCGGAAGAGGUGAGUGGAAUUCCUGGUGUAGCGGUGAAAUGCGCAGAUAUCAGGAGGAACACCAAUGGCGAAGGCAGCUCACUGGGACGAUACUGACGCUGAGACGCGAAAGCGUGGGGAGCAAACAGG
rnacentral:rRNA from 1 species